AAAUAAAAAAGAUGAUUAGGUGCAUAUAAGCUUAAUAGAGGAAGAGGAGUGAGAAUCUCCCACAGCGCAAGCUGCUGUAUAGUGGACGAAAUCAUAUUAUGUCACUGGGAAACUGGGAAGGCGUGAGAGUAGGAUGAAGCUGAGUCAGAAGACUUACCAAUGGUCAUAUAAAAAUA
rnacentral:ncRNA from 20 species